rnacentral:rRNA from 1 species
ACUCUCCGGCAAUGCGAAUAUCUCGGCUUUCGCAUCGAUGAAGAACGUAGCAAAAUGCGUACUUGGUGUGAAUUGAGAAUCCCGUGAACCAUCGAGUUCUUUGAACGCAAGUUGCGCCCUAGCCUUCUGGCCGACGGCACGUCUGCCUGGGUGUAAAAAUCGUCGUCCCCCCAUCCUCUGAGGAUAUGGGACGGAAGCUGAUCUCCGUGUGUUACGCACGGGGUUGGCCAAAAUCCGAGCUAAGAGGUCAGGAGCGUCUUGAUCAUGCGGUGGUGAAUUUAAUUCUCGUCAAUAGUCAGACGUUCCGGUCCAAAAGCUCUUAUGACCAAAGUCCUCAAAGACGACCCCAGGUCAAGGCGGGACACCCGCUGAGUUUAAGCAUAUAAUAAGCGGAGGAAAAAGACACUAACAAGGAUUCUCCUUAGUAAGGCGAGCGAGCCGGUGAAGAUCCCAGCUUGAAAAUCGGACGCCUUUGGCGUUCGAAUUGUAGUCUGGAGAAGCGUCCUCAGCGACGGACCGGGCCCAAGUUCCCUGGAAAGGGGCGCCAUGAGAGGGUGAGCGAGCCCGUCGUGCCGGACACUGUCGCACCACGAGGCGCGGUGUUCUACGAGUUGGGUGUUUGGGAAUGGCCCAAUUAAUUGCGCGAGAAUUCGUCCAAGGCCAUAAUAUGGCGAGAGACCGAUAGCGAAAAAGUACGGCGAGGUAAAGAUGAAAGGACUUUGAAAAGAGAGUCAAAGAGUGCUUGAAAUUGGUCGGGAGGGAGUCGGAUGGGGGCCGGCGAUGCCGUCUGGGUCGGAUGCGGAACGGAGCAUCCGGUCCGCCGAUCGAUUUGGGGCGGGGAGCGACGCGGAUUAAGGUGGUGACCUAAGCCCGGGUUUUGUUACGCCCAGCUGGAGACGUCCUGCCUUAUCGUGGUCUGCAGCACGCCCUCACGCGUGGCCUCGGCAUCUGCGUGCUCAGGGCGUCUGGCCUUGUGGGUCCCCAUUGGCGUUCUUGAAACACGGACCAAGGUGUCUGACAUGUGUGCGAGUCAAGGGUCGAGUAAACCCGUAUGGCGCAAGGAAGCUAAUUGGCUGGAUCCCUCAUCGGGUGCACAGCCGACUCGACCUUGAUCUUCUGAGCAGAGGAUUCGAGUGUGAGCAUGCCAGUCGGGACCCGAAAGAUGGUGAUCUAUGCCUGAGCGGGGCGAAGCCACGAUGAAACUCUGGUGAGGCCCGCAGCGAUACUGACGUGCAAUUCGUCGUUCUGUACUGGGAUGAGGGGCGAAAGACUAUCGAUACAUCUAGUAGCGUGUUACUCUCGAAGUUUCCCUCAGGAUAGCUGGAGCUACGGCAAACGAGUUCUAUCGGGUAAAGGCCAAUGAUUAGAGGCAUCGGGGAUCGCAAUGUCCUCGACUAUUCUACAACUUUAAAUAGGUAGGACGGGUGUGGCUGCUUUGUUGAGCGCAUCCACGGAUCGAGAGCUCCAAGUGGGCAUUUUUUGGUAAGCAGAACUGGCGAUGGGGAUGAACCGGAAGCCUGGUUACGUUGCCCAACUGCGCGCUAACCUAUGAACCCAACAAGGGUUGUUGUCGAUUAAGACGCAGGCAUGACGUGGUCAUGGAAGUCGAAAACCGCUAAGUGAGUGUGGUAAGCAACCUCCAUCCUGGCCGAAAUCAACGUAAGCUCCAAAAAUGGGAUGCGCUGAAGCGGCGCGAACACUUGUUACUCCCAGCGGCCGUGGGGGCAGAGGCCAGGCCUCGAUGUAGGUAUGUCGACUCGGCGGGCGCGUGUCUCGCAAAACCUAGGGCGCGAGCCCGGGCGGGGCGGCGUCGGUGCAGCGAGAUCUUGGUGGGUAGAGCAUAUAUAUUCAAAUGAUGAAUUUGAAGCCGAAGAGGGAAAAGGUUCCAUGUGAACGGCACUUUGCGACAUGGGUUAGUCGAUCCUAAGAGUCGGGGGAACACCCGUCUGAUAGCGUUUAUGCGCGAACUUCGAAAGAGGAUCCGGUUAAAAUUCCAACGCUGGGACGUGGCGGUUACGCAACGUUAGGAAGUACGGAGACGUCGGCGGGAAUCCACGGAAAGAGUUAUCUUUUCUGUUAACAGGCCUGCCCACACCUGGAAGACGGCUCAGCCGGAGUAGGGUCCAGCGGCUGGGGAAGCACUGCACGCCGUCGCUGGUGUCCGUGCAUUCCCGCGGCCCUUGAAAUUCGGAGACCUGAGUGCCGCUUCACAGUCCCCUGCCGUACUCAUAACCGCUAUCAAGUCUCCAAGGUGAACUGCUCUGGUCGGAUGGAACAAUGUAGGGAGGGGAGUCGGCAAAAUGGAUCCUACUUCGGGAAAAGGAUUGGCUUUGAGGGGCUGGGCUCGGGGGUCCAGUUCCGAACCCGUCGACUGUUGGCGGCUGCCUUAGCUGCUAACAGGGCGAGAGAGGACUGCCUCGUGUCGGCAGGGAGCGGCUGGGAAUGGCUCUUUCGGGACGUUUCCCCGUGGCGUCGAACAGCAUACUCAGAGACUGGUACGGACAAGGGAUAUCCGACUGUUUAAUUAAAGCAAAGCAUUGCGAUGGUCCGUGCGGAUGCUAACGCAUGUGAUUUCUGCCCAGUGCUCUGAAUAUCAAAGUGAAGAAAUUCAACCAAGCACGGGUAAACGGCGGGAGUAACUAUUGACUCUCUUAAGGUAGCAUAAUGCCUCGUCAUCUAUUAGUGACGCGCAUGAAGGAUUAACGAGAUCCCACAUGUCACUGUACUACUAUCACAGCGAAACCACAGCAACGAACGGGUUGGUAGAAGCCAGAAAGCGGGGAGAGACCCUGUUAAGCUUGACUCUAGUCUAAUUUGAUGAGAUGAGGAGAGUGUAAAGAGUAAGUGGGAGCUCCGGCGCAAGUGAAAAUACCAGCUACUUUUAGACUAUUAUUUUACUUACUGCCGUGAAUCGGAGUGCGGGUAACGAACCCUUCUUUUAGACCCAAGAACCUAGCUUGUGGCGGGUCGAUCCGGGCGGCGGGAAAUUGUCAGGUGGGGAGUUUGAGCUGGGGCGGCACAUCUGUAAAAGAUAACGCAGGUGGUCCUAAGAUGAACUCAACGAGAACGGAAAUCUCGUGUGGAAACAAAAGGAGAAAAGCUGUUAGGAUUCUGUUUUAGUAUAUAGAUCGUGGAAGAGUAGUCCUAAGUUAGACCCUUUAGACUUCGGAAUUUGAAGCUAGAGGUGUCAGAAUAAGUUACCACAGGUGAUAACUGGCUUGUGGCAUGCAAGCGUUCAUAGCGACGUUGCCUUUUGGAUCCUUCGAUGUCGGCUCUCUCCUAUCAUGUGUGAAGCAGAAUUCACAGUGUUGGAUUGUUCACCCACCACAUCGGGAACGUGAGCUGGGGUUAGAACGUCGUGGACACAGGUUGUUAUCCUCCUAUAGGCGCGUCGCAAUAGUAAUACCAACCUAGUACGAGAAGGUAAACGUGUUGAAUUCGAACAAAUUCGUCAUAUCCACCGGCGUUCGGUUUGAGCCGUGGUAGCGAGCAUCAAGCUACCCGUAGGCGCUGGACACUAAUGACUGAAACACCUCUAAAGUCAGGAUUCCAGGCCUAGAAGCGAUGCAAUGCGCAUUUUGCCUCGCCAGCGAUUUGCCAGACCCUCAGUAGGCAAAAGCUUCUCGGAAUCUCCAAAGGCACAUUGUCGUUGAGAGGAGCCGCCAUGUUUGCUUUGCUCGGCCUUAAAAAUGCCUUGAAUUAAUAAUUACCAAGAGAUGGCGGCAUGAGCCUUAGAAUCUCCGGCUGCUAUUGAUCAGGAUUUAAAUAC